rnacentral:rRNA from 1 species
AUGAAGAUAAGUCUAAAAAAUGGAUUGUAUUAUGUGUACGAAUUUGAGGCAGCACAUAACCAUCCUCUUGCUACUGGAGACAUGGCCCUAUACUUAAGAUCCCAAAGGAAAGUCACAGAAGCACAAUUAGCAGACGCUGAAGUCGCAAAGUCUGUGGGCAUUUCAAAUAAAACAACUAUAGAUCUUAUGGCCAAAGAAGCAUGUGGACUUCCAAAUCUUGGGUUUGCACCCGAAGAUAUGAAAAAUCGUUUGUACUCUAAGAGAACACUUCAAGCAAAGAAAGGAGACAUAGGGGGGUGUUAG